GGGGUUGUGGCUCAGUGGUAGAGCGCUCGCCUUGCAUGCGAGAGAACCUUGGUUUGAUCCUCAGCACCA
rnacentral:tRNA from 1 species